rnacentral:rRNA from 1 species
UACAGAGGUCUCAAGCGUUGUUCGGAUUCAUUGGGCGUAAAGGGUGCGUAGGCGGCGCGGUAAGUCAGGUGUGAAAUCUCGGGGCUUAACUCCGAAACUGCAUUCGAUACUGCCGUGCUUGAGGACUGGAGAGGAGACUGGAAUUUACGGUGUAGCGGUGAAAUGCGUAGAUAAUCGUAAGGAAGACCAGUGGCGAAGGCGGGUCUCUGGACAGUUCCUGACGCUGAGGCACGAAGGCCAGGGGAGCAAACGGG